rnacentral:lncRNA from 1 species
UCAGGAAGAGAUUCGGAGAAAAACUUGUCCAAAAAGUUCUCUUCUACUUUUUUUUUUUUAUAGAGCUUGUGGAGGCUUUUAGACUUCGGGAUUGAAUUGAAUUUAAUUCUAAAAGGCAGGCAUAGCAGAUAGAUGUGUCAUCCAAAAAGUUAGAGUGUUAGGUAGACAUACUAUCUGGGUUGUUUAUACAACUGUCAAAAUAUGAUUUAAUCCAUCAAUCCGAUCCGUAUUCGAUCCACUAUAAACAGAUUUGAAUUUAUAAACAGAUUUGGAUUUAGACUAAACAGAUUCAGAUCAUAAAUGGAUCGAUCCGUUUAAUCCAUUUAAUAAUUGGAUCAGAUAUAAAUUUUAAAUACCUGACCCGUUUAAUAUUUAGAUUAGAUUGUCAGAUAACCCAUUUAAUCUAUUUAACCUAUUUCUGAUCCAUUUAAUCCGAUAUGUUUAACCUG